GCGCAGGUGGCGAAACUGGUAGACGCACUACCUUGAGGUGGUAGCGGGAGCAAUCCUUUGGGAGUUCAAAUCUCCCCCUGCGCA
rnacentral:tRNA from 1 species